CAGCGCCACGAGUGGGGGUCACGAUUAUUGGGCCUAAAGCGUCCGUAGCCGGUUCAGCAAAUCCUUUGUGAAAUCGUUGGGCUCAACCCAACGGCGUGCAGGGGACACUACUGAACUAGGGACCGGGAGGGGUUGGAGGUAUUUCUGAGGGAGCGGUAAGAUGCUAUAAUCUCAGGAGGACCACCUGUGGCGAAGGCGUCCAACCAGAACGGAUCCGACGGUGAGGGACGAAAGCUAGGGGAGCGAUCCGGAUUAGAUACCCGAGUAGUCC
rnacentral:rRNA from 1 species